GACGAACGCUGGCGGCGUGCCUAAUACAUGCAAGUUGAGCGCUGAAGGUUGGUACUUGUACCGACUGGAUGAGCAGCGAACGGGUGAGUAACGCGUGGGGAAUCUGCCUUUGAGCGGGGGACAACAUUUGGAAACGAAUGCUAAUACCGCAUAAAAACUUUAAACACAAGUUUUAAGUUUGAAAGAUGCAAAUGCAUCACUCAAAGAUGAUCCCGCGUUGUAUUAGCUAGUUGGUGAGGUAAAGGCUCACCAAGGCGAUGAUACAUAGCCGACCUGAGAGGGUGAUCGGCCACAUUGGGACUGAGACACGGCCCAAACUCCUACGGGAGGCAGCAGUAGGGAAUCUUCGGCAAUGGACGAAAGUCUGACCGAGCAACGCCGCGUGAGUGAAGAAGGUUUUCGUAUCGUAAAACUCUGUUGGUAGAGAAGAACGUUGGUGAGAGUGGAAAGCUCAUCAAGUGACGGUAACUACCCAGAAAGGGACGGCUAACUACGUGCCAGCCGCCGCCGUAA
rnacentral:rRNA from 1 species